GCGACGACUGGGAGCCGAGCCGUUUGUCGUCUGCGUGCGGCAUUAAGGCUUCUUCGACUUGGUACUGCAAUGAAGCGCCGCAAAUAACUUCUGCUGGUCAUGGUCGAGGAGCGGCAU
rnacentral:lncRNA from 1 species